UCUGGAGAUUCAGAUGCGUUCGUCGUCUCUCGUCUGUGCUCCCGUGACGCCUUGACGAGCCGAAGCCGCCAUGCCGCCGCCUGCGGUUAUAAGCUGCACAUACUGACAUACACCCGAUCAGCCUCGAUCUGCACUGCGCACCACGGCCGGCCGGCCCGGCCGGCUCGCGCCAUCCCAAGGAAGUUGUACUGAUCAAUCAUUCAAUCAAGAUUUUACAGAAUACGAUCAGGAAAUGUUGGAUAAUAUUCCUAAUGAGGUGAUAGUUCAACGCUUCUAUGCGAAAAAUCAUCGUGGGCUCGUGGCAUGAAACGGAACUUGAAGGCUAGAAAUCAUGGACAUAUAUAAAAAAAAAGGAACGGCAUAUUCAUAUUUCCCAAGUUAUUGUGGUUUAAGUGGUUAGUUUACUUUUACUUUGGCAAUGAACUUGUCAUAAUUAUGCGUGUGAUGACAUUAUCUUACCAGAAAGUAUAUGAUUUUGCUUCUUACACACUAUAUCUAUGCUUGUGUGGUUUAAAUAAUUUAGUCAUUAUAGUUCGUAUACAUGUUUAUGAAAAAAAUAUGUAUAAAUAUUUGCCCCCUCUUGAUUUUCAUCCUGGCUCCGCCCCUGUUUGUUCGAGUAGUAUGGUCUGUUGUAGGUGUAGGUGGGCUCGCGGUUCAUUCAUGCGCAUGCUAGGCUAGAUAAUAUCAAGGCAAAUGAACCGACCACCAUCCCUGUUGCCCUGUUUCCCUCGCCUACAUGCUACCCGGAUGACUUGUUGCCUUUUCCCUUCGUGUGCCGCGUCGUCUACCGGAGAGGCGUUUACCCAGGCUUUCGACAACCGCCUGCUAUUUUAGGCUGGUCAUAGUGGGAGUAACCUAUUAAGUAACAUAAUGCACCUCAAGAAAAGUUUGCUUAUGUGGCAUGUACUUCCUUGUUUCUAAAUAUAAGUUUUUUUAGAGAUUUCAAUAUAAACUACGUACGGAUGUAUAUAGACGUAUUUUAGAGUGUAGAUUUUACAUUGUAUAUAGUUCAUAUUGGAAUUUCUAACUUAUAUUUAGGAACAGAUGGAGUAUUUAAUGAGGUGAGAGGUCUUUGGAGUAACAUAAUAUGUUACUAUAACAUAACACAUCCGAAGACAAAAUGAUUAAAAUGAUGGUUUGCAUGAUACCACACAUAUGUUACUUUCCACUAUGAAGGUAGUAAUAUAGAUUAAUAACAUAUGCAUGCGGAAAUUCAAUGGUGCUCCAGAAGCGUGCGCUCAUGUGCGCGAAAACAUUUUUUGAAAUGUCAAAAAAGUGCGAACAAAAAUUCUAUGUGUUCUUUGUAACAUCCAAAUUGUACGUACAAAUUUGUAGGCAAAAAGAUAAAUAUUUUGGCCCGUGGAAAAAAAGGAAAAACAAAAUAAACACCUAAUAUUACCCCAAAAUGUCAGCCUAAUUUCUUUUCACUGGAAAAACCUCGCUGCUCCAUUUCGCAUGAAAAUUUUCAAGGAUGCUUACGACACUAACACGAACAUCUACAAAAAAAUUCAGAAUCUUUUGAAAAAAUUUACUAUAUAUUUUUGUUUGCUAUUCAUGCGGGAGCGCGCGCUCCCGGAAGGCAAAAGGCAAUUCUCCAUAUGCAUGUUCCUAGUCUAAGUUACUCCCCACUAUGACUAGCCUUACCCUGGCCUGCAUGUCCAUAGGCCAGUUCAUGCGAAACAGCUACGCUAGGGCGGUUGGUGGGGUCAAGCUUAUUGCUAGGGUCCCUGGUUGCAAGCUCCCUCGUGGGGACAUGACACGCCGCUUCUGGUGCGGUGUGUUUGUUAAGGGAGGAGAUGGCCUCAAAAAUGCGAUGUGGCAGCUGUAAAAUAAUGCUCGAUAACUCUAAGGACCAAAUGGACAUACUUAUAAGCCUAACAUUAUGUGCGCCGUCCAUUUGGUGCCGGCCUCCCGUCGAUUCGUUUGGUGUGUACGCCCACACCCACCUUGGUUUCCUAGGGGUCCAUGAUGGGCAGGUCACGUGCCGCUUCCAUCCUAGUCGAAUCCUUCCUGCUGGUCCCAAUCUCACCCUUUUUGCUACUCUCAUCCUCUGACCCUUGCCGUCGUGUUUCCAUCUCUCCGGCCCUUGGGCGAGUCAUUCAUCGAAGUUAUCUGAUGAGGAUGAAAGUGUGUAGCAGCUCUGUUGUUAGGUCGUGCAAGCUAGCAUUGUUCGUAGUGCAAAUUAUAUCAGAGCAACAGGUCCGGUUUGGCCCUAGUAGCAGCACCACCGAUGAAGGAAGCACCAAAGACCACGGGGCGGUAAGUUUGUCAUCUGUUUCCAAGUUGGGUUACUAAAAGUUUUGCUGCUGUUUUGGUCGCAUGGGUACUGGGUCCACCUGUCAGCGGCCACCCUCACCCGGGUUGCGUCCCUAGCAAGAGUCGUGUGUAUGUGUGUGUGUGUGUGUGUGUGUGGGGCUUGGACGGUUGUGCGUUCAUUUGCAACCGGGUCGGGAGAAGCGACCGACUGGACUCUUGUCGGAGGCGCCUGUUCGGUUCCCCCUCCCGGCUGUGCGCGGGCGUGCCGACCUCAUGCCGCGUGUGCCACCUCGCGUGUUCGAGAGGUGUCUGCCUGGGAUUGAGGUGGAUUAAAUCCCUCUAAGUCAAAAUCCAGAUCAAGCCCCUUCAAACCUCUCCAAUCAUCUUCAAGAGAGGUUUAACCAAAGAUAGCCCACUUGAGAAGUAACUUCACGCCUGUUUCAUUAUAGAAUCAAAAGUCUGCUAUGACUCCCACAUCUAUCUAUCUAUCUAUCUAUUAUCUAUUAUACAAUUAAAAUAGAAGACAAAUCAGCCAUCACGUUAGUCCACACAGAUUAAAUUGUCUUGACCGUUAGUUUUAUAUAUUAACGGCUAGGAUUUACAAGAUUAACGUUACAUACAAAUAUUUAAAUUAUCUUGACCGUUAGUUUUAUAUAUUAACGGCUAGGAUUUACAAGAUUAACGUUACAUACAAAUAUUAUUUGCACGUACAUAAAACAGUACAACAUGUCACGUAGGAGUAGUCUUUUUUUUAAGGGGACACGUAUGAGUAGUCAGACAUGAUGUUUCAUCCGGACUCCUAUGCCUUUCUCCAAGAAAAGAACGUGACCAUCCUAAUAAUAAGAAAAGGAGUCCAACGAAAAUACAUGUAUUGACGUCAUCUAUGUGUCAGGGUAUAGGAUAGAACCGCAUGUCUAAGAAAAAAACUAAGAAAAGAGAACUCCGUGUAGACCUAUGAAAAAAACAUGUCUCCCACGGCCUCCAUCACCUCGCAGCCCUACCCGGCGACGCAUCAUAUAGCGAUCCUCACCACCGUUGGCUCAUCUUCUUCCAAAGUUCCAUCUGACCUGGAUCGAUUCGGUCCAAACAAAAGGUAUCAUCAAAUCAAGUGUGUUCAACCUUCUAAUCACGUUCCUAGGUUGUUUCCUCUCCUACCCUUGAAUCUCAGAUUUCAAAUCCAGCAAUCUGACAUGCAUAUAUUCCAGUACAUGAUGGUGAUUUAGCAGGUACAAUCCAGUCUUGCGUGUUCCUCUCCAAUAUUUGAAUCUCAGUUUCCAAGUUCAGCAAUCGAUGGUGAUUUUUUUUGCGGGGUAAUCGAUGGUGAUUUAACAGGUACAACCAAAUCAAGCGUGUCCUCUCCAAUCUUUAAAUUUUAGUUUUCAAGGUCAGUAAUCUAGCCUGUAUAUAUGUUCCAUCACAUGAUUUUUUCCCAUACUGGAUGUUAUAGCAAGUAGGAUCCACUCUACUCACGCGAUCUCAGUUUCAAAGUUCUGACCUAGCAGUAAUCCAACACGUAUAUUCAGUUACAUGAUUUAGUAGGAUGCACGGGCCACUGUAUGAAGCAUAUUUUGGUGGCCGCGGCUCAAACAAAACUGUUGAGUUUCUCUACUUUCACUCCAAGUCCCUAAGUGCUAUAUAUGCAGAAUAGCUUGAGUAAACACCUGAUACUACAAAAGUCUACUCUUCCGCACACUUGAUUUAAAUCUUCCAUGCACACGAUGAAAUUGUUUUUUCAUGUAGCAUGUUGAUGCGUAUCAUGCUCUAUCGGGCAGACAUUGAUUGGAAAAAUGUAACUAUUGUUGUAUAGUGGUUUUGUUACCACUUCUAACCUUCAAAGUUCAUAUUUUCUCUGCUCCGAUUCUAGCAGCAGGUGCCAAUAAAGGCAUGAUAGUGUGAUGCAAGCAGUCAGGCCCUCUGUUGUCCCAUCAUGCAAGCUGUUCGACUCCAGUGUGCAGGGUCGCUCCCGUUAUAUCAGGUAAGAAGCUCAUGUCCCCAGGAACAAAGCGAAAGUUUCCAUCUGGGCAAGAGCUUCUGACCAGUUUGUCUGUUAUAUUAGUUCUUGCUUUUUGGAUAUUUCUUAUCAAACAAUAUUCGCCUGUGAAAUUUGAACAUCUGGAAGCAUGCAUAUAUUUAGUAUUGAAACAUCCUUCUCAUUAUUAAUAUAGUACAAUUAUUGUUGUGCAUAUGCUGCAGGCAUGUCAUGAAAAACCUCAAUUAUUCCUUUUUAUCAUAGCCAGAGUAAGUGUGGCUACUUCUACAUCCUUCUUAUAUUUAGUAAUGCAAGGCACCUUUUGAGACACCACAUGAAUUAUAGGAAAUAUAGAUCUAAUCCAUCAAUUCUGUAUUAACAACAAUAUAGACGAUCCAGAUUAUAUGUUGAUGGUGCAAGAGUUUGGCUAGACUAUGCUGCAACUUUGAAUAAGGAUGGCCGCAAGAGUUUGGCUAGAGUGCUCUGUAAGUCCAAAUAAGCAUCUCUAGAACAAAACUUAUUUGACAUGUAGUGCAUCAGGAAACCUUGAGAUCUACAUUCCCUAAAAAACCCUCAAGAUCUAUUGCAAAAGAAAGCCGCACGACACUCCCGAAUCAAGCUGUGGCGUUGAUGAACGUCUCCUUGGCACUUAGGAGGCGACGUUUUGUUUGGUGCACAUAAGUAAGCACUUAUGUAUCUCCUAAUGCAGUCGAUCACGUUGAUGCUAUGAAUCAUGCAGGUUCGAUUAUAUGUUUUACCCCAAAAAUAUGUAGAAUCGUCUCUUUAAUCUUAGAGAAAAUAUCAAUAGAUAUGACAUCAGUAGACAAGAAAAAAUUCAGGCCAAAUGUUAGGUAUGUGAUAAAUUUGAAGAAAUAAAUAACCGACUUCUAUUUAAAGAAAAAAUAUAUAUAAGAUAAUUUAAUGCAAACAAAUACACACAAUCUCUUUUGAAGUAAUAUAGGUGACAUAAAUAUCGCGCAUGUAUACUCAGAUAAUAUUCUGAAUAGAUUUGGUGUCUAUCACAAAAAAAGAGAAUGUCCUCAUGAAAUCUGGAAAAGGCACUUACAAAAGGAAAAUAUCUCGAAAUAUGACAGUAGCAAACCAAAUGAAAUCCAUGUCAUAUGUCAGUUAUGUGAAAUCUUUCAAGGAAUAAAUAUCUCAAGUGAAUGCUGCCAGAAUAUUGUGAAUACCUUUGGUGUUUAACAUCAAGGAAAAAGGAAUGUCCUAUUUAAGUUCGGAGCCAGAAAAUCAUAUUAUACCAUAUAUUUAAUAAUUGGAGGCCUUUUUUAAUGCUCCAUGUUAAUUAUAGGACGAGAAUAUUUUAUCCUGGACAUUAAGUUUAAUCUGUUAGAUGUUUGUUUGGUAAGAUUAAGACUGCCCAAUUGCGACGUGUGACAGCUAUAAAUUCUUGACGCCAUAUAUGGUGGCCUAUCCUAUGCAUUCCCCAUAGCAUCCUAAACCCUACCUCCAAUGUCAUCGGCAAACCUGCUUCCUCUCCUCCUUGGAGGUUUGACGACUGAUGGUAUGAUCAGUUUGUAGAAGCAUCCAGAACAAGACGUGGAUCAGCCGGCUCUGAUUCCAUGUCGAUUCACCAGGCCCCAGCAAUCGCAUCUUCUGAGGACGGCCAUGAUAUUUGCGUAGAAUGAAUUAGGUAAGCAUCCAACUUUAAAGUAUUCGUAAAUUUCUAUUGGCAAUUCAGAUUACAGGGUUGUAAUUUUUUUGAGUCUGCAACAGACUACGUUUGCACACAUAGACUGAAACUUUUGUGUAGUUAGCAGUAAGCAAUGAGAAAUUGAGAAUCCAAUUUUUUCAUGUAAAUUUGUAUGACCAAGUUCAAAUUCUCAUUUAA